rnacentral:rRNA from 1 species
AGUCGACGAGGCUUCGGCCUUAGUGGCGCACGGGUGCGUAACGCGUGGGAAUCUGCCCCUUGGUUCGGAAUAACAGUUGGAAACGACUGCUAAUACCGGAUGACGACGUAAGUCCAAAGAUUUAUCGCCGAGGGAUGAGCCCGCGUAGGAUUAGGUAGUUGGUGUGGUAAAGGCGCACCAAGCCGACGAUCCUUAGCUGGUCUGAGAGGAUGAUCAGCCACACUGGGACUGAGACACGGCCCAGACUCCUACGGGAGGCAGCAGUGGGGAAUAUUGGACAAUGGGCGAAAGCCUGAUCCAGCAAUGCCGCGUGAGUGAUGAAGGCCUUAGGGUUGUAAAGCUCUUUUACCCGGGAUGAUAAUGACAGUACCGGGAGAAUAAGCUCCGGCUAACUCCGUGCCAGCAGCCGCGGUAAUACGGAGGGAGCUAGCGUUAUUCGGAAUUACUGGGCGUAAAGCGCACGUAGGCGGCUUUGUAAGUAAGAGGUGAAAGCCCAGAGCUCAACUCUGGAAUUGCCUUUUAGACUGCAUCGCUUGAAUCAUGGAGAGGUCAGUGGAAUUCCGAGUGUAGAGGUGAAAUUCGUAGAUAUUC